AAGGAAAAAUUGAGAACUAAUCUCUAACACCUUCUGUGAAUUCACUGCAGAAAUGGUCCACAACCUCCUCAACCUGCCUAUCACCAACCACUAUGUGUUUCAUUAUAUUAUCAUCAACUGACAACUUUUCUUGUCUACCCAUGGCAAC